CCUUCCCCAAGAUGAGAUCUCCCUGAAGAGCCGUGAAAGACGAUCACGUUGAUAGGACGGAUGUGUAAGCACAGUAAUGUGUUGAGCUUACCGUUACUAAUAGCUCGUUCGGCUUGACCAU
rnacentral:rRNA from 1 species